rnacentral:tRNA from 1 species
GGAGGGGUGGCCGAGUGGCUUAAGGCGCUGGUUUGCUAAACCAGUGUACUGGGAAACCGGUACCGAGGGUUCGAAUCCCUCCCCCUCCGCCA